rnacentral:rRNA from 1 species
UACGGGGGGAGCAAGCGUUGUUCGGAUUUACUGGGCGUAAAGGGCGCGUAGGCGGUCAGCACAAGUCAGUUGUGAAAUCUCCGGGCUUAACUCGGAAAGGUCAACUGAUACUGUGCGACUAGAGUGCAGAAGGGGCAACUGGAAUUCUCGGUGUAGCGGUGAAAUGCGUAGAGAUCAGGAGGAACACCCGUGGCGAAGGCGGCUCUCUGGGUCCGCCCUGACGCUGAGGCGCGAAAGCGUGGGGAGCGAACGGG